rnacentral:rRNA from 1 species
AUAGCGUAUAUUAAAGUUGUUGCAGUUAAAAAGCUCGUAGUUGGAUUUCUGGGAGGGUGCCAAUGUCCGCUUGUUAGCGUGCGCAGCGGCGCCCUUCCAUCCUUCUGUUAACGUUUCUUGGUAUUCACUUACUGGUUUCGGGCUCAGAUAUUUUACCUUGAGAAAAUUAGAGUGUUUCAGGCAGGCUUGCGCCGGAAUACAUUAGCAUGGAAUAAUAGAAUAGGACUUCUGUCUCACAUUUGUUGGUUUGAGGGGCUGAAGUAAUGAUUAAUAGGGAUAGUUGGGGGCAUUAGUAUUUAAUUGUCAGAGGUGAAAUUCUCGGAUUUGUUAAAGACUAACUUAUG